rnacentral:rRNA from 1 species
GACGAACGCUGGCGGCGUGCUUAACACAUGCAAGUCGAACGGAAAGGCCCUGCUUUUGUGGGGUGCUCGAGUGGCGAACGGGUGAGUAACACGUGAGUAACCUGCCCUUGACUUUGGGAUAACUUCAGGAAACUGGGGCUAAUACCGGAUAGGAGCUCCUGCUGCAUGGUGGGGGUUGGAAAGUUUCGGCGGUUGGGGAUGGACUCGCGGCUUAUCAGCUUGUUGGUGGGGUAGUGGCUUACCAAGGCUUUGACGGGUAGCCGGCCUGAGCGGGUGACCGGCAACAUGGGGACUGGGAUACGGCCCAGACUCCUACGGGAGGCAGCAGUGGGGAAUAUUGCACAAUGGGCGGAAGCCUGAUGCAGCAACGCCGCGUGCGGGAUGACGGCCUUCGGUUUGUAAACCGCUUUCGCCUGUGACGAAGCGUUAGUGACGGUAAUGAGUAAAGAAGCACCGGCUAACUACGUG